rnacentral:rRNA from 1 species
UCGGGUUGUAAAGCACUUUUGUCCGGAAAGAAAACCUCUGCCCUAAUACGGCGGGGGGAUGACGGUACCGGAAGAAUAAGCACCGGCUAACUACGUGCCAGCAGCGCGGUAAUCGUAGGGUGCAAGCGUUAAUCGGAAUUACUGGGCGUAAAGCGUGCGCAGGCGGUUCGUUAAGACAGAUGUGAAAUCCCCGGGCUUAACCUGGGAACUGCAUUUGUGACUGGCGGACUCGAGUAUGGCAGAGGGGGGUAGAAUUCCACGUGUAGCAGUGAAAUGCGUAGAGAUGUGGAGGAAUACCGAUGGCGAAGGCAGCCCCCUGGGCCAAUACUGACGCUCAUGCACGAAAGCGUGGGGAGCAAACAGGAUUAGAUACCCUGGUAGUCCACGCCCUAAACGAUGUCAACUGGUUGUCGGGCCUUCAUUGGCUUGGUAACGUAGCUAACGCGUGAAGUUGACCGCCUGGGGAGUACGGUCGCAAGAUUAAAACUCAAAGGAAUUGACGGGGACCCGCACAAGCGGUGGAUGAAGGUGGAUUAAUUCGAUGCAACGCGAAAAACCUUACCUACCCUUGACAUGUACGGAACCUGGCUG